GGGAGGGGGGAAGAAGGGGGAGGAAGGGACUGAGGGAAGGAGUGGGGCCGCUGGACCGAGAAACCAGAGAGGAGGAAAGGAAGGGAGUCAGUGUCAGGUCAGAGAAAGUACUCACAAAAGACAGAAAAACGACACGGACAGACUCACAGAGAAGGGGGUGGACAGACGAAGGGAAAGGGCCAGAAAGAGCCAGGGAGUAGGAGGAGGAGAAGCGAGGCAGAUACGGGGAGAAACAGACACCACACGACGACAGGCUGGUGGGACACAGAUGGGGCCGAGUCCCCAUCAGCACGACGGUAACACGGAGAGAGCUCCAGGUGACAGAGACCGGCAGAGAAAAGGAGAAAAAAAUUAGAAAGACCCCGGAAAGGAAAUAAAGAAACCAGAGUGGCUCCCGAGCUGGACUGCAUUUCCCGUCCUUCUCUGCACCUGGACAUGGCCGCCGAACAGGUUCUGACCAAAAGACGGUAUUUAUGGAGCCCCUACCAGGUGCCAGACCCUGAGCGCUAAACACCGGGGCAAGGCUGUCCCAAAGUGGCUGGUUCGUGCACACUCGGUGGGGAGCCACCACCUGCAAUGUUGCAAUCAUCUGAGUGGACCCAAGGUCUUGUAGCAAAGGUUUGGGCGUCCAGGUAUGGAGGCAGUUCACAGAUGUGAUCUCAGCAGCUCUAUGUGGAUGAUAAAGGUGAUUCAAAAAAAAAAUAAAUAAAAUAC